CUGACUUUAUUCUGAGCUCAUCAGAACCACCAAAGUAAUACUGCAGACCAUACUCUUACCUCCUGUUCUUGGUUCUCCGACAUCCUACACCAAAAGCCCAUUGGAAGGAAACAUCUGAUGAGGGACAGAGGAUACAGGAUCAAGGCAUUGGAUAAACUGCCAGCACAGGAGCAGAGAGUUAAAUAUUCUGAAGUGUCUUUAAACAAAACUAACAACGGGAAAGACGAUGACAAGGAAAUCACAGUCAUCCACUCAGUGGAGCUCAUACAUCUUUUGUGCCUUGAAAAAGGUUUGUCAAAUUCAGGACCAUAAUUUAGGAACGAAAUGAUCAUCAUACCCUUGGUCUCAGGAAGUUUGUAUAGGGCCCUGCACUACCUUCAUGAAGAAAUUCUUCUUUCCUUUGGGGCCAAUACCACUCAGAAACAAAUAGCUAUGAACUGGCUUUUUAAAAACCUCCAGACACCAGCCUGGCCAACGUAAUGAAACUCCGUCUCUACUAAAAAUAAAAAAAAUUAGCGGGCGUGGUGGCAGGCGCCUGUAAUCCCACCUACUUGGGAGACUGAAGCAGGAGAAUCACUUGAACCCGGGAGGCGGAGGUUGCAGUGAGCCGAGAUCGCGCCACUGCACUCCAGCCCAGGCGACAGUGCAAGACUCCGUUGUCAAAAAAAAAAACACAAAAAACAAAAAACCUCCAGAUGGGCCGGGUGCGGUGGCUCACGUCUGUAAUCCCAGCACUUUGGGAGGCCGAGGCGGGCGAAAUACGAGGUCAAGAGAUUGAGACCAUCCUGGCCAACAUGGUGAAACCCCUUCUUUACUAAAAAUACAAAAAUUAGCUGGGCAUGGUGGCGCGUGCCUGUAGUCCCAGCUACUCGGGAGACUGAGGCAGGAGAAUCAGUUGAACCCAGGAGGUGGAGGUUGCAGUGAGCCGAGAUCGCACCACUGCACUCCAUCCUGGCAACAGAGUGAGACUCCGUCUCAAAAAAAAAAAAAGAAAGUUUCAGUUGUAACUGUCCUUAAAAACACUGGGCUGGCCCAGUGGCUCACGCCUGUAAUCCAACACUUUGGGAAGCUGAGGCGGGCAGAACACUUGAGGCCAGGAGUUCAAGAACAGCCUGGCCAACAAGGCAAAACUUCGUCUCUACUAAAAAUACAAAAAUUAGCUGGGCAUGGUGGCACAGGCCUGUACUCCCAGCUACUCGGGAGACUGAGGCAUGAGAAUUGCUGGAACCCAGGAGGCGGAGUCUGCAAUGAGCCAAGAUCACACCACUGCACUCCAGCCUGGGCGACAGAGCAAGACCCUGUCUCAAAAAACAAACAAAUAAACACUGGAACAAAUACAAAAACCUAGACACCAAGUAGUAAUUUCUAGCAACCACUCUUCUCCAUUAGAUUCCUCCCCACAGAUACCACUCCUCAAAAGAAAAAGCUCAGUUCUGCCUCUGGAGAAGCAGCAGGAAGUUCCUAACUUUAGUUCUCUGAUCUGGGAGAUGGAUCUGUACUUCAUCCAAAUAAGGCUAGAGUCAGUGACCAUAGCUAGUUACAUAACUUAGUGUUAACUACAUUUUCUGGGCCCUUUCAACCACAUCUGAAGUUUC
rnacentral:lncRNA from 10 species